GUAGCUGGUCUGAGAGGAUGRCCAGCCACACUGGRACUGAGACACGGUCCAGACUCCUACGGGAGGCAGCAGUGGGGAAUAUUGGACAAUGGGGGAAACCCUGAUCCAGCAAUGCCGCGUGUGUGAAGAAGGCCUGAGGGUUGUAAAGCACUUUCAGUGGGGAGGAGGAUUGGWAGGUUAAGAGCCAUUCAAUUGGACGUUACCCACAGAAGAAGCACCGGCUAACUCCGUGCCAGCAGCCGCGGUAAUACGGAGGGUGCGAGCGUUAAUCGGAAUUACUGGGCGUAAAGGGUGCGUAGGUGGUUUGAUAAGUUAWCUGUGAAAKCCCUGGGCUCAACCUGGGAAGGCCAGMUAAGACUGUUAGACUUGAGUAUGG
rnacentral:rRNA from 1 species